UAGAUUUUGGGAUUUAGGGUUUAUUUUGGGGGUUUUUGAAUUUGGGGGCUUUGGAACCAAAUUGAUGGGUUUAGAACCUUUGUUUAGGUUAGAUUGGAAGGACUCUAACUCCCAUUUGGAGAUCGUGAGAGCCUUCUUCGCAAUCGGUAAGUUUUCUCCAACCCUAGCUUGAGGAGCUUAAUGAUUGAGCUAUUUGCUCUUCGUUUCGUUUGGGUGACCCUAUUUUUGAUGUUUCUAGGGUACUAGGGAGCUUGUGGAUACCUUCGUUCGGCGAAACGAAGAAGUUGAUUUUGGUGGGUUUGACUUCAUGGAAAUAGGGCAAAAUGGCCCCUAUGCCUUCUAAACUUUUGUAAAAUAUUUUUGAAUGCAAAUUCAUGCUAAAUAUGACUCAUGUGAAUUUUAGAACACUUAAUAUGCAUGCCUCAUAUAUCGUAAAAUUUGUACUCCAUAUAGUAGAGCUAUAUGUGUAGAUUGCAUGCAUUGUGGAUAGUGCUUGGUUUUACAAGUUGAGAACAUGUCUCCAUGCUAGAGUUGAGUGAAUUUAAGCGUCAUGAACAUAUUAAUGCCAUGCUUGGAACUCGUUGAACCAAAGUGUCAUCAAGGGGCACUUGAAACUAGUAAACUAUUAAACUGCAACCUAGGGACAUGUUGAUAGGCCACUAUAUAUCUGCUACAUUCCAUGUUAGAGACAUGAUGACAUAGAGAUAGGCCAUUGAGAUACUUGAUAUAUUCCAUGUUGUUAGACAUGAGGACUUGGCUCUUGAGACGGAUCAUUGCUUGCUUGCCAUUUGUGCUCAUUCGCACAUGCUUGUGAGGGUCGCUCCCUACAAGCCGGCACUCCGGAGAUAGCCAUCGCGACACAUGCUCGCCGUGCGGGAUUGGGCGCCGAAGUGGAUUGCCGUGGGGGAGGCUCAUCCCUAGAGUGGGGAUGUUGACUACCACGGGGCCAUUAGGCACGGCGCAGGCCAGACAGCCUUCGGGUGGGUCUUAUAUGAUUGGGACUUAGUGACAGAACGUGCUAUGUGAACUUUAAAACUAUUAAAGUGGACUUGGACUAGAAUAGUAAACAAUGACAUCUUUACUAUUUUUGCAUUGAGGACAUCGGAUUGGUUGCAUUUCUAUGCUGAUGCAUGUCAUACACAUCCAUGUACAUUCAUGAUAUCGUUGCUUCAUUACUUGUGCAAAUUAUACUAAGUAGAAAUUCUAUGUUAUAGUGAGUUACAUUUUACUUACCUGUCGCUUUACUACAUUGUUAGUCACUGACCUCUUUUUGUAGCUUUGGGCCUUGUGGUGCAUUCACUGAAGUCAGUAAUUGCCCACUGGGAACUAUUUUUAAUAGUUCUCACGCCCCUGUUUUAUGGUUUACUUUUCAGAGCCUUCGGCACCGGCGGAGGCACGGGAUCGCGGCAAGGGGAUCGCUUAGCUAGCUAGCGAGGAGCGGUUCUUUGCCUAGGUGGUUUGCUCUUUCUUUUGUAGUUGGGAGAGUGAGAGAUUUUGUAUCCAUGUGUAGAGACCACCUAUGUACCUACUUUUAGUACUUGUAUUUGGGAUUUCCUAUUGUAUUUACUUUAUGUCUUAUUUAGUGAAUUUACAGUUUUAUCCUUAUUUCUUGUUGUAGCAUUUAGACAUUUAUUAUGCUCUGAUACUCCUAGAUGUCUUUUAUUAUUGCUUUUAUUAUUGUUGUUUUUAGACGCCUUAUAUGUUUUAGACGUAUGGCGGGUCUGGGCACGUGCCGGGCGGGCUUCCGCUGGGUCCCGGGGCGUGACAGUU
rnacentral:lncRNA from 1 species